UCUGAAAUAACGCAUAUCUCAAGAACUUAACAGAAGAUUAUUUCUAAACUUGAAUAUUACUGACGGAUAAAAACCAGACACAAUGGCUUUUGGACCAGUCUUAUCAAGUUUGCUGAUAUUUAUAGUGGCCAUUGACCUAACUACAAGUAAUGGAGAAACUACGACUGGUGGAUCAACUACAACUGGAGGUUCAACAACAACUGGAGGUUCAACAACAACUGGUGGAUCAACUACAACAGGAAGUUCUGCAACAACUGGAGGUUCAACAACAACAGGUGGAUCAACUACAACUGGAGGUUCAACAACAACUGGCGUGUCAACCACCACAGGUGGGUCAACUGCCACUGGUGUAUCAACUACAACAGAAGGAUCGACAACAACUGGUGAAUCAACUACCACAGGCGGGUCAACUACAA